rnacentral:rRNA from 1 species
AGAGUUUGAUCCUGGCUCAGAUUGAACGCUGGCGGCAUGCCUUACACAUGCAAGUCGAACGGCAGCACGGGUGCUUGCACCUGGUGGCGAGUGGCGAACGGGUGAGUAAUACAUCGGAACGUGUCCUGUAGUGGGGGAUAGCCCGGCGAAAGCCGGAUUAAUACCGCAUACGAUCUACGGAUGAAAGCGGGGGAUCUUCGGACCUCGCGCUAUAGGGGCGGCCGAUGGCGGAUUAGCUAGUUGGUGAGGUAAAGGCUCACCAAGGCGACGAUCCGUAGCUGGUCUGAGAGGACGACCAGCCACACUGGGACUGAGACACGGCCCAGACUCCUACGGGAGGCAGCAGUGGGGAAUUUUGGACAAUGGGCGAAAGCCUGAUCCAGCAAUGCCGCGUGUGUGAAGAAGGCCUUCGGGUUGUAAAGCACUUUUGUCCGGAAAGAAAUCCUUGAUCCUAAUAUGGUCGGGGGAUGACGGUACCGGAAGAAUAAGCACCGGCUAACUACGUGCCAGCAGCCGCGGUAAUACGUAGGGUGCAAGCGUUAAUCGGAAUUACUGGGCGUAAAGCGUGCGCAGGCGGUGAUGUAAGACCGAUGUGAAAUCCCCGGGCUCAACCUGGGAACUGCAUUGGUGACUGCAUCGCUUGAGUAUGGCAGAGGGGGGGUAGGAUUCCACGUGUAGCAGUGAAAUGCGUAGAGAUGUGGAGGAAUACCGAUGGCGAAAGCAGCCCCCUGGGUCAAUACUGACGCUCAUGCACGAAAGCGUGGGGAGCAAACAGGAUUAGAUACCCUGGUAGUCCACGCCCUAAACGAUGUCAACUGGGUUGUCGGGUCUUCAUUGACUUGGUAACGUAGCUAACGCGUGAAGUUGACCGCCUGGGGAGUACGGUCGCAAGAUUAAAACUCAAAGGAAUUGACGGG